rnacentral:rRNA from 1 species
UACAGAGGUGCCAAGCGUUAGGCGGAAUCACUGGGCUUAAAGCGCGUGUAGGUGGGUCGUUAAGUGUCCGCGUGAAAUCCCACGGCUCAACCGUGGAACUGCCGGGCAUACUGGCGAUCUUGAGGCAUUCAGGGGCGAGCGGAACAAAUGGUGGAGCGGUGAAAUGCGUAGAUAUCAUUUGGAACGCCAACGGUGAAAACAGCUGGCUGGGGGUGUGCUGACGCUGAGACACGAAAGCCAGGGGAGCGAACGGG